CCUACGGGUGGCAGCAGUGGGGAAUAUUGCGCAAUGGGCGAUAGCCUGACGCAGCGACGCCGCGUGAGGGAUGAAGGCCUUCGGAUCAUAAAACUCUGUCAGCAGGGAAGAACGGUCCCUGUGCUAAUCAGCAGUGAAUUGACGGUACCUGCAAAGGAAGCACCGGCUAACUCCGUGCCAGCAGCCGCGGUAAUACGGAGGGUGCGAGCGUUAAUCGGAAUUGCUGGGCGUAAAGCGCUCGUAGGCGGUAUGUCAAGUCAGGGGUGAAAUCCCCGGGCUCAACGUGGGAACUGCCUUUGAAACUGGCAAACUGGAGUGUGGGAGAGGAUAGUGGAAUUCCAGGUGUAGGAGUGAAAUGCGUAGAUAUCUGGAGGAACAUCAGUGGCGAAGGCGACUAGCUGGAACAUAACUGACGCUGAGGAGCGAAAGCGUGGGUAGCAAACAGGAUUAGAUACCCGUGUAGUC
rnacentral:rRNA from 1 species